UACGAAGGGUGCAAACGUUGCUCGGAAUUAUUGGGCGUAAAGAGCGUGUAGGCGGUCAGGUAGGUCCGUUGUGAAAACUCGAGGCUCAACCUCGAGACGUCGGUUGAAACCGCUUGGCUAGAGUCCGGAAGAGGAGAGUGGAAUUCCCGGUGUAGCGGUGAAAUGCGCAGAUAUCGGGAAGAACACCCGUGGCGAAGGCGGCUCUCUGGGACGGUACUGACGCUGAGACGCGAAAGCGUGGGGAGCGAACAGG
rnacentral:rRNA from 1 species